UUUUGAAAGAGAAAAAAACUGGCGAGCCCUCCCUUUGUCUCACUUCCGGUGAUUUUCUUAGACUCUGGUACCCGGGGUAAUGAAUGCACUGAUGCCAAAUGGGCAUUGAGUGAUGUCACUGAGUGGUCUUUUAUUUGUUUAUGAGAAACAACGCAUCCAUGCAUUUAGGAGAAACAACGCAUUUGAUCCUUCGUAACUACGCUUAAACAUAAUUCUCUCUAUAACUAGUUUGAUCCAUCUAUAACAUAAUUAUAUAACAAGAUAAAUUUAUUUGUGAUAAAGUCAGAUCUUCUAACAAACUCACGGUAUGGACGCAAUAUGAGAUGUGACUAUUCCAUGCUUUGCUGUUAAUAUUUUCCCUGGUAUGAGUAACUUUUAGGAAGUUUAGAAAGGACAUAGCUUUUCAUUUGUCAAAAUGCCAGUUCUCUAUAUGUUUGUAUUAGAAUGUUGCUGAGUUUGCAUCAGAAACUUUGACAGCGAUUGAACCAGUUUGUCAGUCCCAUUCAUGCCCAAGUGAAUAAAUUUGAUGAAUCUUAGCAUAUAUCGAUCUGCUUUAUCCUGGAUUUAAAGUGCAUAUGACACGAAAAUUUUUAUUCGCCCCCAUCACGUAAUCGAGUAUGCUGAUCACGAAAAUCACCAUAAAAUUUUCGAAAAACAAACACUUUCGUAAUUACAGCUGUUUCAAGGUCGAUUUUUGCUUCAAAUUCUGUCACAAGGGAUUGGGUCGAGUUUGACAGGAAGUGACGUAAAGUGGUUGUGUUAGCGAAAAUUUAGAUUGCUAACUAACAAGAAGUUAUACGGCGGAGUUUUACUUGCGAGUUUAUGAACAUGUCUCACGGCAAAUAUUCAAGCUCGAGGGCGUCAGCUUUUGACGAAAGUGAAGGGGAAUAGCUUUUAGGUGCUGCUGAUGGGCUAUUUUCGCCUUGCAAGAACGAACCAGUCUUUUUUCUGCGGAUAAUUCAGACGCGGAACCAGGCGAAGCUGGCAUAGCUCGAAGCUUUCAUGACCGGGCAGAGGACGAAGAUGGAAUACAAAAAUCCCAACAGCGUGAUCGAUGGCGAGGAAUUAUUACUUUGAGUCAAUGGUAUCUCUGUGCAAUGGCAUACAGUCUUGGUGUCUGUCAGAGACAAACGUAGAUACUUCAAUUCCAGAACUUCUGAGAGAUUCAAAACCUUGUUGAUGCCAAAGCAACUCCAUCUGUGCAGAGCUUCCGUUAACGCUGCCUGUGAAGAACGAGGAACACAAAUUUCAAUGUUUACAUUUAGCAACAAACAUGAUCCAAGAUUAAUUUUUUGGUCUUUGACCAAGGCUGACCAGCUCAAAGACCACUAUUUCUGUUAUACAGAAACGACUGAGUCCGUGAUUUAAUUGAAAGUUUUUAUAUCAUGUUUUGUUACUUGGUGACUUCUGUUUAUUGUUAAUCGAUUCUCGCUUGCAUUUUGAAUCUUUAUCCCAUAGAAUAUCAUUUCCCUGCUUCUUAAAUAUUUCUUGAGUUGCCAACCCACUGCUUUUUUAGUUUCCAAAACCUUUUUCGCUUUUGUAUAAAAUAUUGAAGUAGUUUACAUUUGUUUAAAUGGUUUAAAAAAAUAGCUGCAAAAUUUAAUAUUUGGGUUAUUUUUAUGUAUUAAAAACGGUAAUAUGGACCCCACACAGAGAGACAAGGAGUCCCUUUUUUCCAUAAAGCGAGUGCCCCCGGUGUUGUCGAGUCAUUACCAAUAACGUAUCUCAGCUGUUACACAAUAGAACGUUGUUAGGCAGUUAUAAAAAAACAAUAGGAAACUUAUUACUCA